rnacentral:tRNA from 1 species
UAUAUUUUAGUGUAUGAGGCACUUAAGAUUUUGAUUCUUAAAGAUAUGGUUUAAUUCUAUAAAAUAUAA